rnacentral:rRNA from 1 species
UACGUAGGUGGCAAGCGUUGUUCGGAAUUACUGGGCGUAAAGGGCCAGUAGGCGGCCAACUAAGUCGGAUGUGAAAUCCCCAGGCUUAACCUGGGAACUGCAUCCGAUACUGGAUGGCUUGAAUUCGGGAGAGGGAUGCAGAAUUCCAGGUGUAGCGGUGAAAUGCGUAGAUAUCUGGAGGAACACCGGUGGCGAAGGCGGUUCUCUGGGCCUUACCUGACGCUGAGGAGCGAAAGCGUGGGGAGCGAACAGG